rnacentral:rRNA from 1 species
GGGUUUGAUCCUGGCUCAGAUUGAACGCUGGCGGGAUGCUUUACAAUAUGCAAGUCGAACGGUGCAUGGACUUCGGUCUGGUGUGGCGAGUGGAACGGGUGAGUAAUGUAUCGGAACGCCUAGUAGCGGGGGAUAACUACGCGAAAGCGUAGCUAAUACCGCAUACGCCCUUCGGGGGAAAGCGGGGGACCUUCGGGCCUCGCACUAUUAGAGCGGCCGAUAUCGGAUUAGCUAGCUGGUGGGGUAACGGUCAUCAAGGCGACGAUCCGUAGCUGGUUUGAGAGGACGACCAGCCACACUGGGACUGAGACACGGCCCAGACUCCUACGGAGGAAAAGAAUAUGGAAUUUUUGACAAUGGGGGAAACCUGAUCAGCCAUCCCGCGUGUGCGAUGAAGGCCUUCGGGUUGUAAAGCACUUUUGGCAGGAAGAAACGGCACGGGAUAAUACCGUGCAACUGACGGUACCUGCAGAAUAAGCACCGGCUAACUACGUGCCAGCAGCCGCGGUAAUACGUAGGGUGCAAGCGUUAAUCGGAAUUACAUUGGCGAAGCGUGCGCAGGCGGUUCGGAAAGAAAGAUGUGAAACUCAGAGCUUAACUUUGGAACUGCAUUUAACUACCGAGCUAGAGUGUCAGAGGGAGGUGGAAUUCGCGUAGCAGUGAAAUGCGUGGAGUGUGCGGAGGAACACCGAUGGCGAAGGCAGCCUCCUGAUAACACUGACGCUCAUGCACGAAAGCGUGGGGAGCAAACAGGAUUAGAUACCUCUGGUAGUCCACAGCCCUAAACGAUGUCAACUAGCUGUUGGGGCCUUCGGGCCUGGUAGCGCAGCUAACGCGUGAAGUUGACCGCCUGGGGAGUACGGUCGCAAGAUUAAAACCAAAGGAAUUGACGGGGACCCGCACAAGCGGUGGAUGAUGUGGAUUAUUGAUGCAACGCGAAAAACCUUACCUUAAUCUGACAUGUCUGGAAUCCUGAAGAGAUUUUGGGAGUGUCGUAAGAGGAACUGAACACAGGUGCUGCAUGGCUGUCGUCAGUCGCUGUGUCGUGAGAUGUUGGGUUAAGUCCCGCAACGAGCGCAACCCUUGUCAUUAGUUGCUACGAAAGGGCACCUAAUGAGACUGCCGGUGACAAACCGGAGGAAGGUGGGGAUGACGUCAAGUCCCCAUAUCUUAUGGCAGGGGCUUUCUCACAUUUCAUACAAUGGUCGGGACAGAGGGUCGCCAACCUGCGAGGGGGAGCCAAUCCCCAGAAACCCGAUCGGGGUCCGGAUCGCAGUCUGCAACUCGACUGCGUGAAGUCGGAACGGCAGUGACCGUGGACCAGCACGUCGCGGUGAAUACGUUCCCGGGUCUUGUACACACCGCCCGUCACACCAUGGAGGCAGGGUUUUACCAGUAGCGUAAAGGUCAACUGCGAGGCAUUUACACACGGUAGGAUUCAUGACUGGGGUGAAGUCGUAACAAGGUAGCCUUCACAUACCUGAUGCCCUGCGAGCAUACGUAACCGAAAU